UUUAGGCUGGUACAAAUGAUGACUUGACUUUUUUCCCCAUCAGAUCGACAGUGUUGAUGGCUCUGAAUACUUGCCAGUUAGUUCUGAUAAGACCAGCCUCAAAAGCCCGGCACUGUCCACUUCCGGCCGUGGGUAGAGGGGCCUUAAUGCCCUCUUUGUUUCGCAGGGUUGCGUGGUCAGGGUGCCCAGGAUGGCUGUUGGAGGAGGAAGUCGCUGCCGGGCCGCCAAACGAGCCGGGGCCAUCCCCUGGUCGCAUGGUUUUGAGGGGUUGCGUCUGGCAAGACUUUUGAAUUAGCAGUCCUCCCACAGGACAGAAUUGGUCUGGAGCUGGGUGGCACCAGGCAAUAAGUGGGCUGAUGUCUGCUUGCUGUUUGCUGAUGGCCUGUAGUAAGUAAGUCUUAGUUGUGGACUUCGAAUCCAGGCCAAUAAAAAAAGACCCUGUGCACUGGGUUGCUCCUGACAAGUCUUUUGAACCAGCAGUCCUCCCACAGGCCGUGCAGCUGUUUUGUUUACUGCUCUGAAGAAAUGCCGCAGAAACUGUUGUGAUGUCCAACACCGCUUACAAGGACAGCGGCUAUGGGGGAAACUAGAGUGUGCGAGUGGUUUUCUCAUUUCAAAAAAGGUGGAAUGUCAAUUGAUGUACCUCGUUCUGGAUGUCUUAUCAACUUCCCAAACGAAGGAAAUGGCAACGUUUGUGCACUUGUGCUCGAAGACUGCCUCAGUUCACGAAUUUUAACAGGAAAUUUGGGAAUGAGAAGGGUUUUGUUUGUGCCUUGCAUCCUGCCUGACCAGGAAAAAGAGCAAGUGGAAGCAUGCCAUGCUUUGAAAGAACAGCUCUAUCCAAAUAGAUGAGGUUGAAAA